rnacentral:rRNA from 1 species
AGGACGAACGCUGGCGGCGUGCUUAACACAUGCAAGUCGAACGGUAAGGCCUUUCGGGGUACACGAGUGGCGAACGGGUGAGUAACACGUGGGUGAUCUGCCCUGCACUUUGGGAUAAGCCUGGGAAACUGGGUCUAAUACCGAAUAGGACCAUGGACUUCACGGUUUGUGGUGGAAAGCUUUUGCGGUGUGGGAUGGGCCCGCGGCCUAUCAGCUUGUUGGUGGGGUAAUGGCCUACCAAGGCGACGACGGGUAGCCGGCCUGAGAGGGUGACCGGCCACACUGGGACUGAGAUACGGCCCAGACUCCUACGGGAGGCAGCAGUGGGGAAUAUUGCACAAUGGGCGCAAGCCUGAUGCAGCGACGCCGCGUGAGGGAUGACGGCCUUCGGGUUGUAAACCUCUUUCAGCACAGACGAAGCGCAAGUGACGGUAUGUGCAGAAGAAGGACCGGCCAACUACGUG